CCCGUGGUGGCAGGUUCGGGGUUAAAAUCGCGGGCCAGAGAACCGGAGAAAGGGGCGCAGGCGCAGCGGGACCAGAGGGAGGACCGCAUGCGCAUUGGGCUCUGUGUCCAGAGUAGAAAUGGCGCGUGCGCAGUGUUUUACAUGAGCAGAGAGAUAGCCGAAUGCGCACUCUGCUGAGUCAUACGGGCUCUAAAUGUUAACUGUUUCUCUCUCCACAGAUGCUGUUGGACCUGUUGAGUUUUUCCAGCAUUUGCUGUUUUUAUUUUGCGUGCGCAUUAGGCCUUGUCAACGGAGUGGGUGGGCCUGCAUGUGAAUUGCGUACUUUGAACGGAGAAGGGUCCGCAUGCGCAGUGGAAGGGGAACUCGUGAGAGGGCCGCAUGCGCAUUCUGACCGAAGUCAGUAGUAGUAACAGGAAAGUGUUACACUGUUUCACGUGAUACUGAACACAGCUGUGGAAUGUUGCUACUGCCGGAAUCACUUCCCCCCCCGUUAUAAUUCCAUUAUAUUUUUAAACUCAGAAGUAUUUCCUUGAUUUGCAGCAUUGAGGACUUUCGCCUGGUACUGUGAUAGAGUAAUAGGAACUGGCUCUGUUUCUGAUUCAUCCAGGGAUACAAUGGGAUCUAUCGGAUUAGGAAUAAUUGGAACAAUCCUCUCAGGAGUUUCUGUAACGGAUAGUGCCCUUACUACAUAGAAUUCUACACAGAAACAGGAACUUGUAGAGAAAAGAGCCUGAGCCUGUUCAGUCCCCCCUGAUGGUUAUGCCCUCUCAGUAUCAGCCUUGUUUGCAAGAUGGAGAUUGUUCAGAUACUUUGGGACUAAGAGCCAAAAUGGAAAUAGUGAAAGGAACAGAAAUGUUCAUAAAUGAUUUAGCCUGGAUCAACAGAGAUGCCUGGACUUGGAUUAGCUGAGAGUCAUGGACCCAGUCAGCUGGAGACUGUCCCUCUGAACAGGGAAGGUUUUCGCUGUUUUAUCUGUGGGAAAAGCUUCAAGUGGCCUUAUCUUUUAAAAAUGCAUCUGCUAGUUCACACAGGUGAGAAACCGUUUGAAUGCACACUAUGUAAAAAGCGAUUUAAUAAAGCUGGUUACUUAACAAUACAUCAACGAUAUCACACAGGACAGAAACCAUUUGAAUGUACAGAGUGUAAGAAGCGGUUUUGCACAUCUCAUGAUCUGAAAACACAUCAGCGAACUCACACUGGGGAGAAGCCAUUUGAGUGCACAGUGUGUAAGAAAAGGUUUGGACAAUCCGCUAACUUAACACAUCAUCAGCGAACUCACACGGUUGAGAAACCCUUUGAAUGUUCAGUGUGAAAAAAGCAUUUUAGCAAAUCCAGUAACUUGAUUCAGCAUCAGCGAUUUCACACUGGAGAGAAACCGUUCGAGUGUACUGCAUGUAAAAGACGGUUUUAUGCAUAUGGUCAGUUAACACGGCAUUAUCAAACUCACACUGGAGGGAAACCGUUCGAAUGUAGAGUUUGUGGAAAGCACUUUUAUACCUCUGGCUGCUUGACUAGACAUCAACGAAUUCACACCGGUCAGAAAUCACCAUAGCCCUCAUUGUGUGCCCAGGACAGUGACUUGGUCCAGCAACAGUGAAUUCAUGUUGAAAAGUAAUGUAACUGGAAUCUCCUGCAUGAAUUAUUCUCUAAGUUGCUUUCUCCGUGGGAUGUAAUCAUUUAGAUAUUUCGAAUCGAUUCCUUUCCUGCAGUGACUGUCCCCAGUACAAACAUAGCCCUGGUGUUAAUUUUAUAAAUUAAUGUUACAGAUAUACAGGUGGAGGGCAUUCACUGGAUGAUUACUUGAGUACAUAUAAUGAGAUACUUAUUGACAUACUUAUUGACUCUGCAGUUGUUUUGUAGAGUUAGAGGCUAUGCAGUUGUAAUUUUUUGCUUUGCAAAUAAAUGUAAAACAGAGUAAAGAUGACUACUGGUUGUCUCCUUUGCCAACUGGCUGUCAGAAGUUUAACACCU